rnacentral:rRNA from 1 species
UACAGAGGUGGCAAGCGUUGUUCGGAAUUACUGGGCGUAAAGGGCGCGUAGGCGGUCCUGUAAGUCUUGUGUGAAAUCCCUCGGCUUAACUGAGGAACUGCACGAGAUACUGCGAGACUUGAGUUCGGGAGAGGAAAGCGGAAUUCCGGGUGUAGCGGUGAAAUGCGUAGAUAUCCGGAGGAACACCGGUGGCGAAGGCGGCUUUCUGGACCGACACUGACGCUGAGGCGCGAAAGCUAGGGGAGCAAACGGGAUUAGAUACCCCGGUAGUCCUAGCUGUAAACGAUGAGUGCUGGGUGUAGGGGGUUUUAACCCUCCUGUGCCGAAGCUAACGCAUUAAGCACUCCGCCUGGGGAGUACGGUCGCAAGGCUGAA